rnacentral:rRNA from 1 species
GGGACAUGGGGCGCAGCUGAGCAGCCACGUCGCGUGAGGGAGAAGGUCCUACGGUUUUUAAACUUUUUUUGCGGGGAAGAAACUGGCGCCACGUGUGGCGCCGUGACCGUACCCCUCCAAAAAGCAUCGGCUAACUCCAUGCCAGCAGCCGCGGUAAUAAUAAAUUUUGACUUUGAUGGUGAUGAGACCUUUCAUGUGGA